GAAAAGAAACCAACAGGGAUUGCCCUAGUAACGGCGAGUGAAGCGGCAACAGCUCAAAUUUGAAAUCUGGCUUCGGCCCGAGUUGUAAUUUGCAGAGGAUGUUUCUGGCGCGGUGCCUUCCGAGUUCCCUGGAACGGGACGCCACAGAGGGUGAGAGCCCCGUAUGGUUGGACACCAAGCCUGUGUGAAACUCCUUCGACGAGUCGAGUAGUUUGGGAAUGCUGCUCAAAAUGGGAGGUAAAUCUCUUCUAAAGCUAAAUACCGGCCAGAGACCGAUAGCGCACAAGUAGAGUGAUCGAAAGAUGAAAAGCACCUUGAAAAGGGGGUUAAACAGUACGUGAAAUUGUUGAAAGGGAAGCGCUUGUGACCAGACUUGCGCCGGGCGGUUCAUCCGGGGUUCUCCCCGGUGCACUCCGCCCGGUUCAGGCCAGCAUCGGUUUUCGUUGGGGGAUAAGAACGUCAGGAACGUGGCCCUCCUUCGGGUGGGUGUUAUAGCCUGGCGUACGAUACCCUGGCGGGGACCGAGGUUCGCGCUCGCAAGGAUGCUGG
rnacentral:rRNA from 2 species